AUAUGUAUAAUACAGUAGUCCCCCGCUAACUCGAACUCGCUUAACUCGAACUCCUCGCUAACUCGAACUACAUCCAAUUCCCCUUGGAUCUGACACUGUUUUUUAUAGUAAUUUAUUCCGCUUAACUCGAACUCGCUUAACUCGAACUCCUCGCUAAUUCGAACAAAUUUUGUUUUCCCUUGGUCAAAUUUAUCCAACUCCAACUUUGUUUUCGAGUCGUGGACCGGCAAAGCUUAAAAUGUCAGAACAUAGCAUUUUGACAACCGGUAAC